GUUUCCAAGAGACCAGGGAUCCUACAAAUAGAGUGGUGUGGCCAGAGCAGGGACAGAGGUGGGUGAAGCUGCCGAGCGCCGGGCUGGGGAAGAUGAGAGGAAACAAACUGUCAAGUGUACGGAACCCAGAUCAGUGAUGAGCGCCUGGAGGAGUCUGAGCAGCUACCGCAGUCAGGUGCAGGGAGAAGCGUCCAGUUGGAAAAUGGGUGGACAGAGCAGAGCCUGCAGUGGCCCCACCUCGGCAGCUGCAGGGUCUGUCUCCCCCGGGAUGAUCUCGGAAUUGCCCCAGAGGCUCUGAAACAGGCAAGAAUGCAGGUCCAACGUUGGCCACAUCACCUUAUUUUAUGGGCCCAUUUCCCAAGAACUGCCUCACCCGUGCCCCCGCUUGGCCGGCUCAGACACCAGCAAGGGGACCAGCAGCCAAGGUCAUGCCUGAUGGCAGCCCCUCAGCUCAGCUCUCAACUCACUCCCAUGUGGCCCAUCAGCCAAGCCAGGGAAGACCUGGACAUGGCAGCUCAGAACCAGCAACCGUCCCACUUGGCGGGGGCCACAGAAACCUUGGCAGGUGCCAGCACACAACCCAACAGGGAGUCCAUCGGGAGGACUCGGGGAACCUGCUCACUGGGCCGGAGUGUCAGCAAACUUCCAAGUGUCUACUCCAUCUCCCUUGACGGACAGCACCCAGCUGGCCCAUCACAGGGACCCACAACGGCCCACCCCAGAGCGCUCCACUGGACAGAAUUCUUCAUGGUCUCUCCCGUAGCCACUUCAUCGCUUCCGCUCAGACACCCUGUCAUAGUGACCAUGGUAAUGAACACGCGGUGUCCACAGAAAGACAAGUUAGGUGCCCUUUAAGACGAGUCAUCCCAUCUGUCCCUAUGGAAGAGCCGUCUCUGGGCCCGGAUUGAUGGCGAAGGCAGAUUGUCGGUGAACUGCUCUGCUCCACACAGCCCUGAUCCUGGCCUUGGAGGCAAGCAUGCACCCACCUGAGUACUGGCGACAGCCAGCAUGGGAGCUCACCAGGCCCCCGGAACAGCUGUGACUCCCCAGGAAGCUCACACCGCAGCUUCACGCAGGGCCCUAGGGUCAGGGAGGAUGUGGGGCAGCAAGGGGGGCUGUGGCAGCUUAGCUCCAGGUUUCAGAAUCCCCUUUUUUUUUUUAAGGAAGGAAGGAUUUCUUUUUUAAGAUUUUACUUAUUCAUGAGAGACACACAGAGAGGCAGAGACACAGGCAAAGGGAGAACCAGGCUCCCUGAGGGGAGUCCGAUGCGGGACUCGAUCCCAGGACCCCAGGAUCACUCCCUGAGUUGAAAGCAGAUGCUCAGCUGCUGAGCCACCCAGGUGCCCCCAGAAUUCCCUAUUCUGCAAAGGUUCCAAAUUUAAGGUGGAUCCAGGAGGAAUAGGCAGGAGAGUCAGGAAGCAGAAUAAAACACCAGCCGUUAUUCCCCAAAGGUCCAUGAAGGAACUCCACACACAAUGUUGCAGCAGCCAGCUCAUCCUGUGGGCGCAGGUGGUGGCCGGAGCGGGGAGGUGGGGGGAGCAUCUGGCUUGCCUCCUCCAGCUCCUGCAAGAAAAGGGUGCCGGCUGGCCUCUUCUCCCGACUGGACGCCAUGAGCAGCACACACAGUCAACAGCAUGCUGGCAAUUGUUGCUUGGCAGGCGCCGCUUGGACCUGAGUACUGGUCAAUGUUCUUGUUGAUGGCAGCAAGUAAGACACAGUGAAAUCCUUGCUAAGUUGGAAGAUAAUUUUGAAUCCUGGGAGCGUUAUUGCCUUUGUUUGUGACAUAACCAGUUUUCUGACAGCAACCUUGAGCCAUGAAGAAGCAGUGAGUUUAAUUUUCUGAAUGUCUUUCUCCUACACGAGCCUAGACAAUCAACCAUAAUAUGAAUCAAAGCCUGAUUUUAGCAUCUGCCAAUGUCUGUGGCAUAAAUACUCCCACCAGGGUGCUCAUUUAAAGCAACCAACGUGAUAUUCCUGAACAUGCGGUUGGGAAGAGAUGCGAUUGGUGGCACGUUGUUCGUUGUAUGGUAUUUCCACCAUAUGCAUUCAAUAGACAUUAAAAAAAAAAAAGCGUAUGUGAUAAUAAGACAUAACAAAAUCAUCAGGAAGUGAUGAGUUCUCAGGACAUAUCACCUUUGUUAUUCAUGCAAUUUACUUAAUAUGAGUUUAUAUAAUUAAACUUUCAGUGGUGGCUGUGUUUAACAAAUGGAUCGCAAGAUUCCUGAAAAUGUCCUAAUGAGCCCCACAUGUGGGGACAAGCCAGCUCUGGCACUUCCCUGGUUUCCGGUUGUCUUCAUGGCUUGCGGCUCUCCCCAGUUGGAGGUCCCGGCUCCCCAGUGGCCGUGAAUCCCAGUCACAGCCAAUCUGUCCUUUGUUAGCAUUUACUUGCUCAUUCAUUCCUCAUUCAUUCGUUUGCAUACUGAGCAUUCUGUGCUGAGCCUCAGGUAGGACACUGAGGGCACAGGGGUAAAAACAGAUGCUUUUCCUAAACACGGUGUGGUGCCCUGGAAUGGAUUCUGGGACAGGAGGGGAAAAGCGGGGGUGGGGGGUGAGCAACAUUAGAAAACCUGGUGAAAUCUGAAAAUAGUCUCUAGUAGAGUUCAUGGCAUUGGGCCGCAGAGGACACCUUUCCUUAUUUUAACCAAAAGCACCUAGUUCUGUGACAUAAUAACACCAGAGGAAGUGGGUAAAGGGGGCACAGAAACUCUCUGUUUACCUCUGCAACUUUUAUGUAAAAAAAGAUUAUUCUAAAAUGAGGUGGGUUUUCUUUUUUAAUGACUGAUAUAUUUAUUUGAGAGAGACAGAGAAAGCGAGCAAGUAGGGUAA